rnacentral:rRNA from 1 species
UACGGAGGGUGCAAGCGUUAUCCGGAUUCACUGGGUUUAAAGGGUGCGUAGGCGGGCAGGUAAGUCAGUGGUGAAAUCUCCGGGCUUAACCCGGAACUGCCGUUGAUACUAUCUGUCUUGAAUAUCGUGGAGGUAAGCGGAAUAUGUCAUGUAGCGGUGAAAUGCUUAGAUAUGACAUAGAACACCGAUUGCGAAGGCAGCUUACUACACGAUCAUUGACGCUGAGGCACGAAAGCGUGGGAGCAAACAGG